rnacentral:lncRNA from 1 species
AGUCUGCAUCUGGUGAGUAAUGUGGGUGUAAGGAAUCGACACCCUUGCGUCUAAUCCAGACAUCUCUAAAAGACCACCCCGGUUUCAAUGCUCCUCAUGAGACCAGAUGAAGCCAUCAUUAUUAACUCCUUAAUUUGUCCAAUACUGCUUCACUUAUUUCCUCAUGGGGUUGCCUCUGAGAGCAAGCCCCGGUAAACUUCUUCCUUAUACAUCUUAAUCUCAAAGUCUGAUUCCUAGAAACCCAAGAGAUUUUGAUUUGAAUUUAAAUAACAGGCGGAGUUUGAAAGAAUAAAGAGAUGGAGGGAACGCAUCAUAACCUGGUAUGACCUGGAUCAACAUAAACAAAGGGGUUUAGAUAGCUCAUGGUUCUGCUGGUUAGGAAGUUCAAGCGCAAGGCCCUGACUUCUGAUUUCAUCAGAAUGGUCUUUCCUAUCAGCAUAUUGGUCACAAUUAUAUAACAAAUCUCUAAGAAGCUCCAAAGUUUUCUUCACCUUUGUACUUUCUUCUGAGUUCUUGCCAGAACCACCCUUAAUUCUUCAUUCAUGCACAGAAAGUCAAGCUGUUAGAGAAACUGAAUAGCAGUAUAGGCGUGAAACAUCUUACACAAGAGUAUAUUGUUGGAAUGGCUACCAUAUAUAUGAAAUAAAGAAUCAGAAGGAUAAACGGUUAAAGUUCUAUGCCAAAAGUGAUAAACAGAAAUUAAUGAAUAGUAUUCAUUUCUGCAUAAAGCUAGAAAUGAAGAUUUUGAUUGUGUAUUGAAUGAGUGGAUUUGUCAGCAUUCCAAUGAACACAUGACACUUAAUGGUGGACUCACCAGGAAACAAGCAAAGAUCUAUCACAAUGAACUGAAAAUUGAAGGAAACUGAAUAUUCAACAGGCUUGUUGCAGAAAUUUGGGAAAGAUGUGACAUUAAUUUUUUAAAAAAUUGGUGGUGGUAAAGCAUCUGCUGAUUACAAAGCAGUGUAGAAAUUCAUUGAUAAAUUUCCCAAACUCAUUACUGAUGAAAAUCUGACACCAGAACAAGUCUGUAAGGCUGAUGAAAUGUUACUGUUUUGGCAUUAGUGCCCAGAAAGACACUGACUACAACUGAUGACACAGCCCCUAUAAGAAUUAAGGAUUCCAAGGACAAAAUAACUGUGGUAGGAUGUGCUAUUGCGGGUGGCUUGCAUAUGUGUAAACUUUCUGUGAUAGACAAAGGCUGGUACUCUUUCUGUUUUCAACUACUGAAUUUCUUACCAGUCCAUUAUGAUACUAACAAAAAGAUAUGAAUUACCAGGAACAUCUUUUCUAACUGGUUUCAUAAAUAUUUUGUGCCAGUGGCUUGUGCUCACAGCAGGGAAGCUGAAAUGACUGAGAAGUGGAAGAUUUUGCUAUUCCCUGACAACUGUUGUAUUCAUCUUCCAGUGAAAUUUUCAUCAAAAAUAAUGUUUAUGCUGGUACUUCUCCAGACAAUGUGACUUCGGUCAUUCAACCAUGUGACCAGGGUAUCCUUAGAUCCAUGAAGAGAAAUAGAACAUGCUACCAGCAGUGAACAGAAGCAAGGGUGUGGAAGAUUUUCAAAAGGAGUUUAGCAUGAAGCAUACUAUUGUCAACACAUGGAACACAGUUGACUAAAGAUAUAUUUACUCGUGCCUAUCACAACCUCUGGCCUAUGUCUAUGUCCAGUGAUGAUGAUGAACAAGGUGGUGAUUUGAAGGAUUCUGCUUGUCAAGUGAGGAAAAAAAAUGAGGUCUGACCUUUUUUCAUAUGUGAAUGUAUACCUUCAUAAUCUGCCAGUAAGCUGGAAGAAAUGUAUAUUGAAUAAUUUUUUAACAUUGAUAAUGAAGUUUCAGUUGUUCAUUUAUUGACCAAUGGUGAAAUAGCCAAAAUGGUUCUGAAUCAAAGUGACCCUGAUGAGAGUGACGAUGAAGAUAAAAACUGCCUAUGGACUACAUGGUGAAAAUGUGUAAUGGGCUUAUUGCAGGACUAAAGCAGCAUCCAGUCAUAAAAGAACAAGGCAUACAGCAACUUAUAAAAUCAAAGAGAGACUUCUAAGACAGAAACUGCUGUUAAUGAGGCAGAUGACUCUGGAAGAAACAUUUUAAAAAAGCCACCCAGCAGAAUGCCUCCUCAUCCCUAGAGAUUUCACCUCCUGGUCCCUCAACUACUCCUGAUGUUGCUUCUCACCAGAAAACACACACAAACAAACAAAAACAAGACAGUAUACAGUAAUCUUUUAAUCAAAUAACAAUGUUGCAGCUGGAGACUGAAAGCUACCAUUGUUUGUUUGUUGCUGUUGUUUAACAGCUGAUAUGCUAUUCUGGUGAUUUUACUGUGUGU